rnacentral:rRNA from 1 species
CGGGUGAGUAACGCGUGAGGAACCUGCCUCAAAGAGGGGGACAACAGUUGGAAACGGCUGCUAAUACCGCAUAAGCCCACGGCUCGGCAUCGAGCAGAGGGAAAAGGAGCAAUCCGCUUUGAGAUGGCCUCGCGUCCGAUUAGCUAGUUGGUGAGGUAAUGGCCCACCAAGGCGACGAUCGGUAGCCGGACUGAGAGGUUGAACGGCCACAUUGGGACUGAGACACGGCCCAG